rnacentral:misc_RNA from 1 species
AAAAUCUACCAUAGCUUGACCAAGCCCCAAGACAUCCCAUCGGUCAGGCAAACGAGAAGAAGAGGGAUUAAUCUGAUCGGCAUCUUCAAUUCCGACCACAAAUUCCUCGUCAGAACUAUUCCCUUCAUCAUCCUCCUCUUCUUCCUCACUCCCACUAGAAAACUCCCCUGUCCCAUAGCCGCUAAAAACACGACAAGAAUACAAAGCGGUGAAAGAAUCGAAGCCUCCGGCCAUGGAAGAGAAUCUGCAUCGGUGAAUGAAAGUGGAAGAAGAAGAAGGGGAAUAUGAAGAAGAAGAGAG